rnacentral:rRNA from 1 species
UUCUUAGUGGCGGACGGGUUAGUAACACGUGAGAAUCCUACCCUUGAGUGGGGAAUAGCCUUUCGAAAGGAAGAUUAAUGCCCCAUAGUCUCUACGGAGUAAAGAUGCCUUCGGGUGUCGCUUAAGGAUGGGCUCGCGGCCUAUCAGCUAGUUGGUGAGGUAAGAGCUCACCAAGGCAACGACGGGUAGCUGGUCUGAGAGGACGAUCAGCAACACUGGAACUGAGACACGGUCCAGACACCUACGGGUGGCAGCAGUCGAGAAUCAUUCACAAUGGACGAAAGUCUGAUGGUGCAACGCCGCGUGGAGGAUGACGGCCCUAGGGUUGUAAACUCCUGUCAUCAGGGAGUAAGACUUAUUCGUUAAUAGCGUGUAAGCUUGAUAGUACCUGAAGAGGAAGGGACGGCUAACUUCGUGCCAGCAGCCGCGGUAAUACGAAGGUCCCAAGCGUUGUUCGGAAUAACUGGGCGUAAAGCGUGUGUAGGCCGCGCGGAAAGUCGGAUGUGAAAG